GUCUCUGCGUUUGUGUGUAUGUGCGCGUGUCUGUGUGUGUGUGUUACUUUUCUGCUGAUUUUGUACGAAGAACAUAAUUUGACCAAAUCACUGAGGACAAUAAAAACAUGAAUGAUGGUGAUGGUCAUGAUCAGAAUGUAGUGACUGAUAUCAGACACUAGGCGGCAGCAACUAAAACUCGAAACAGUUACCAAAGUAAAAGCCCCGUCUUAUUUUGACAGGUCCUGAUCAAUCAUCUGUAAAAGCUUCAUCAGAAAUGGUUCAGGCUGUUUUUGAAUUAUCGUUGAAGUUUUCUGUGAACGGAAACAGGAAGUUCUGAGAGUCCAACAGGAAGCUCUUAGGGACAAACAGGAAGCUCUUAGGGACAAACAAUAUGAUGAACAAAUAGGAAGUUGUGAGGAACGUCUUUGAGACGCCGCUUCAGACGGGAAAAACAAAAUGAAGGAAUUCUAAUUCAAACAAGUCGAUUCCCAUCAGUCACCUGUUCUGCUGCCAUGGUGGACAUGGACCUGGACCUGGACCUGGUGUCUGAUUACGACGUCCUCCAUUUUCUGAUGUUUCUUUAUUAAAAGCUGGCUCAUUAAACCUCUGAGCACGAGGACGUACGUGAUGGCGUCCUCCUGCCUCACUCGUCCAUCCCUCAGUGUCUCGCAGGAGGACGCCUCGUCCGGACCCUGGCGCCUCGUCCGGACCCUGGCGCCUCGUCCGGACCCUGGCGCCUCGUCCGGACCCUGGCGCCUCGUCCGGACCCUGGCGCCUCGCGUUGUAAAUAAACGUCACGUUGAGAAGAAGCCAUAUUGUUUUGCUCGCUGCGACUUCAGGCACUUUCUGUGUUUUAGGUGAAAACAGAUGACGUGGAAUUUUAUUUUAUUUUUUUUGUUUUUGUUUAUUUUUUUGUUUCCUUGACGUUGACUUUUGUGUCAACAUGUUUUAUUUGUGGCUUCGCUGCGGCCGAAAUGUUUGGCUGCUCGCAGGCCGGACGUUAGCUGUACAUACUGUCUACUUCCUGUGACGUCAUGACGUAGUGAAACUGCCCACACCUGAGGUUAGAAUGUGUCCAAGUAAUCAGAUUACAUGCCGGGGUUAUUUGAUUAUGUCAAUGUACUUUGGUAAUCCGAUUACAUCAACAUAUGUCCAGCUAAUCAGAUUACAUCAAAACUUGUCCAGAUUACAACGUGCUCAGCUAAUCAGAUUACAUCAACAUGUGUUCAGAAAUUCAGAUUACAUCAACAUGUGUUCAAGUAACCAGAUUACAUCAACAUGUGUGCAGGUAGUCAGAUUACAUCACCAUGUGUGCGGGUAAUCAGAUUACAUGGGCACAUAUUUGGGUGAUCACAUUUUCACUAACACAUGUUCAGGUAAGUGUUGAGGUAAUCAGAUUACACCAACUGGGUCCUUGUUUUUAGACUGCAAUAAUGUGUCCAGGUAAUCGGAUUGCUUUUACGAAGUUAUGGUAAUCAGAUUACGUCACAACUGUUGAGGUAAUCGGAUUACACAAAUAUGUGUCCAGGUUCUUAGAUUAUAUUAACAUGUGUUGAGGUAAUCAGAUUACGUCAGCGUGAGUUCAGGGACACACCGGUGAGGUCUCUGAUGUGAUGAGUCAUGUUUUAGAGUCACAGAGAUGUUUCAUUUCUGAAGCUUAGAAACAAAAAUAAAAACAUUCUCAAAUCAAAACAAAA